rnacentral:rRNA from 1 species
UGCGUAGGCGGAUAAAUAAGUCAGUGGUGAAAUCUUUCGGCUCAACCGGGAAACUGCCAUUGAUACUGUUUAUCUUGAGUUCGGUAGAGGUAGGCGGAAUGUGUAAUGUAGCGGUGAAAUGCUUAGAUAUUACACAGAACACCAAUUGCGUAGGCAGCUUACUAUGCCGACACUAACGCUGAGGCACGAAAGCGUGGGGAGCGAACAGGAUUAGAUACCCUGGUAGUCC